rnacentral:lncRNA from 1 species
AUGAUCUCAUACAAUGUCCUAGCCAAAAACAUUUUUUCAAGGAAAACAAAAUUGGUGAAACUCCGAUUCGAGGACACAUCAUUUUUUAAACAGGAUAGGAUAAUGUGAGCAUAGAUAUAGAUCAUGAAAGGGACAACAAAGAGAAGAUGAGUGACAGCCAAGCCCAAAAGAAUGGAGAAGUUAGCUGUCAAGAGGGGAAGUUUCAGGAAGAUAACUACCAUGAGGAUCCAACCUACGACAAAGCCCAAUCUACAAGAGAUGAAAUCGGUCAAGGAAGAAAC